rnacentral:rRNA from 1 species
GAUGAACGCUGGCGGCGUGCCUAAUACAUGCAAGUCGAGCGAACAGACGAGGAGCUUGCUCCUCUGACGUUAGCGGCGGACGGGUGAGUAACACGUGGAUAACCUACCUAUAAGACUGGGAUAACUUCGGGAAACCGGAGCUAAUACCGGAUCAUAUAUUGAACCGCAUGGUUCAAUAGUGAAAGACGGUUUUGCUGUCACUUAUAGAUGGAUCCGCGCCGCAUUAGCUAGUUGGUAAGGUAACGGCUUACCAAGGCAACGAUGCGUAGCCGACCUGAGAGGGUGAUCGGCCACACUGGAACUGAGACACGGUCCAGACUCCUACGGGAGGCAGCAGUAGGGAAUCUUCCGCAAUGGGCGAAAGCUUGACGGAGCAACGCCGCGUGAGUGAUGAAGGUCUUCGGAUCGUAAAACUCUGUUAUUAGGGAAGAACAAAUGUGUAAGUAACUAUGCACGUCUUGACGGUACCUAAUCAGAAAGCCACGGCUAACUACGUG